rnacentral:rRNA from 1 species
CAGCAGUCGCCACGGUAAUACGUAGGUGGCAAGCGUUGUCCGGAAUUAUUGGGCGUAAAGGGCUCGCAGGCGGUUUCUUAAGUCUGAUGUGAAAGCCCCCGGCUCAACCGGGGAGGGUCAUUGGAAACUGGGAAACUUGAGUGCAGAAGAGGAGAGUGGAAUUCCACGUGUAGCGGUGAAAUGCGUAGAGAUGUGGAGGAACACCAGUGGCGAAGGCGACUCUCUGGUCUGUAACUGACGCUGAGGAGCGAAAGCGUGGGGAGCGAACAGGAUUAGAUACCCCUGUAGUCCCUGUCUCUUAUAC